rnacentral:tRNA from 2 species
ACUUUCAAAGGAUAAUAGUAAUCCAAUGGUCUUAGGAACCACUUAUCUUGGUGCAAAUCCAAGUGAAAGUA